AGUGAACGCUGGCGGUAUGCCUAACACAUGCAAGUCGAACGGCAGCACAGUAAGAGCUUGCUCUUACGGGUGGCGAGUGGCGGACGGGUGAGGAGUACAUCGGAAUCUACUUUUUCGUGGGGGAUAACGUAGGGAAACUUACGCUAAUACCGCAUACGACCUACGGGUGAAAGCAGGGGAGCUUCGGACCUUGCGCGAUUGAAUUAGCCGCCGUCGGAUUAGCUAGUUGGCGGGGUAAAGGCCCACCAAGGCGACGAUCCGUAGCUGGUCUGAGAGGAUGAUCAGCCACACUGGAACUGAGACACGGUCCAGACUCCUACGGGAGGCAGCAGUGGGGAAUAUUGGACAAUGGGCGCAAGCCUGAUCCAGCAAUACCGCGUGGGUGAAGAAGGCCUUCGGGUUGUAAAGCCCUUUUGUUGGGAAAGAAAAGCAGCAGGUUAAUACCCCGCUGUUCUGACGGUACCCAAAGAAUAAGCACCGGCUAACUUCGUG
rnacentral:rRNA from 1 species